UACAGAGGUCUCAAGCGUUGUUCGGAUUCAUUGGGCGUAAAGGGUGCGUAGGCGGCGCGGUAAGUCGGGUGUGAAAUCUCGGAGCUUAACUCCGAAACUGCAUUCGAUACUGCCGUGCUUGAGGACUGGAGAGGAGACUGGAAUUUACGGUGUAGCGGUGAAAUGCGUAGAUAUCGUAAGGAACACCAGUGGCGAAGGCGGGUCUCUGGACAAUUCCUGACGCUGAUGCACGAAAGUCAGGGGAGCAAACAUG
rnacentral:rRNA from 1 species